CCGUUGCCGGCGACCGGCGCACGGGUGAGUAACACGUAUGCAACCUGCCCGUGGCAGGGGGAUAAGCGGGGGAAACCCCGUCUAAUACCGCGUAACGCGGCCUAGGGACAUCCCAAGGCCGCCAAAGGGAGCAAUCCCGGCCACGGAUGGGCAUGCGGCGCAUUAGCUAGUCGGCGGGGUAACGGCCCACCGAGGCGACGAUGCGUAGGGGUUCUGAGAGGAAGGCCCCCCACGCUGGUACUGAGACACGGACCAGACUCCUACGGGAGGCAGCAG
rnacentral:rRNA from 1 species